rnacentral:rRNA from 1 species
GUACACUCCUACGGGAGGCAGCAGUGGGGAAUAUUGGACAAUGGGCGCAAGACUGAUCCAGCCAUGCCGCGUGAGUGAUGAAGGCCCUAGGGUUGUAAAGCUCUUUCGCCGGUGAAGAUAAUGACGGUAACCGGAGAAGAAGCCCCGGCUACCUUCGUGCCAGCAGCCGCGGUAAUACGAAGGGGGCUAGCGUUGUUCGGAUUUACUGGGCGUAAAGCGCACGUAGGCGGACUAUUAAGUCAGGGGUGAAAUCCCGGGGCUCAACCCCGGAACUGCCUUUGAUACUGGUAGUCUUGAGUUCGGGAGAGGUGAGUGGAAUUCCGGGUGUAGAGGUGAAAUUCGUAGAUAUUCGGAGGAACACCAGUGGCGAAGGCGGCUCACUGGCUCGAUACUGACGCUGAGGUGCGAAAGCGUGGGGAGCAAACAGGAUUAGAAACCCGUGUAGUCCCAUGA